rnacentral:Y_RNA from 1 species
GGCUGGUCCAAAGGUAGUGAGUUAUCUCACUUGAUUGUUCACAGUCAGUUACAGAUUGAACUCCUUGUUCUACUACGUAACCCCCCUCCUCACUACUGCACUAGACUAGUCUUAA